rnacentral:rRNA from 1 species
GAUGAACGCUGGCGGCGUGCCUAAUACAUGCAAGUCGAGCGAACGGACGAGAAGCUUGCUUCUCUGAUGUUAGCGGCGGACGGGUGAGUAACACGUGGAUAACCUACCUAUAAGACUGGGAUAACUUCGGGAAACCGGAGCUAAUACCGGAUAAUAUUUUGAACCGCAUGGUUCAAAAGUGAAAGACGGUCUUGCUGUCCCUUAUAGAUGGAUCCGCGCUGCAUUAGCUAGUUGGUAAGGUAACGGCUUACCAAGGCAACGAUGCAUAGCCGACCUGGGAGGGUGAUCGGCCACACUGGAACUGAGACACGGUCCAGACGCCUACGGGAGGCAGCAGUAGGGAAUCUUCCGCAAUGGGCGAAAGCCUGACGGAGCAACGCCGCGUGAGUGAUGAAGGUCUUCGGAGCGUAAAACUCUGUUAUUAGGAAAGAACAGAUGUGUAAGUAACGGUGCACAUCUUGACGGUACCUAAUCAGAAAGCCACGGCUAACUACGUG